rnacentral:tRNA from 1 species
AGCAACAUAGCGCAGAGGAAGCACACGGGGCUCAUAACCCUGAGGUUGGAGGAUCAAAACCUCUUGCUUCUA